GGUAGGAAUUAAUUUCAUAAGUAAGAAACAGUAACCAAAGCUCAUAAAGGAAAAGAAUAACAAUUUUGACCAUACUGAAAUGACAACCUUCUGAUAAGUAAACAAUUUAAAAGACAAGUAGAAGAAUCUGUAUGUAACACUUCAAAAUAUUCAUAUUCAGAAAAAACUGAAGCAUCUUCUAAGAUAAUAAGAAAAGGCAAAUAUACUUAUGGGAAAAUGGGC
rnacentral:lncRNA from 1 species